rnacentral:rRNA from 1 species
AUUGAACGCUGGCGGAAUGCUUUACACAUGCAAGUCGAACGGCAGCACGGGGGCAGCCCUGGUGGCGAGUGGCGAACGGGUGAGUAAUACAUCGGAACGUGCCCGGUCGUGGGGGAUAACGUAGCGAAAGUUACGCUAAUACCGCAUACGAUCUGAGGAUGAAAGCGGGGGACCUUCGGGCCUCGCGCGAUCGGAGCGGCCGAUGUCAGAUUAGGUAGUUGGUGGGGUAAAGGCCUACCAAGCCGACGAUCUGUAGCUGGUCUGAGAGGACGACCAGCCAAACUGGGACUGAGACACGGCCCAGACUCCUACGGGGGGCAGAAGUGGGGAAUUUUGGACAAUGGGCGCAAGCCUGAUCAAGCCAUUCCGCGUGCAGGACGAAGGCCUUCGGGUUGUAAACUGCUUUUGUACGGAACGAAAAGGCUCUGGCUAAUACCUGGGGCACAUGACGGUACCGUAAGAAUAAGCACCGGCUAACUACGUG